rnacentral:rRNA from 1 species
UACAGAGGGUGCAAGCGUUAAUCGGAAUUACUGGGCGUAAAGGGUGCGUAGGUGGUUGAAUAAGUUAGGUGUGAAAGUCCUGGGCUUAACCUGGGGAUUGCGCCUAAUACUGUUUAGCUAGAGUACUGUAGAGGAAGGUGGAAUUUCCAGUGUAGCGGUGAAAUGCGUAGAUAUUGGAAGGAACAUCAGUGGCGAAGGCGACUUUCUGGACAGAUACUGACACUGAGGCACGAAAGCGUGGGUAGCAAACAGG